rnacentral:rRNA from 1 species
UACGUAGGGUGCGAGCGUUGUCCGGAAUUAUUGGGCGUAAAGAGCUCGUAGGCGGUCUGUCGCGUCUGCUGUGAAAAUCCAGGGCUCAACCCUGGACCUGCAGUGGGUACGGGCAGACUAGAGUGCGGUAGGGGAGAUCGGAAUUCCUGGUGUAGCGGUGAAAUGCGCAGAUAUCAGGAGGAACACCAAUGGCGAAGGCAGCUCGCUGGAACGGUACUGACGCUGAGGCGCGAAAGCGUGGGGAGCGAACAGG